CCGAGCUCCCUAGGUUAAUCAAUAAAAGACCAAAAAAAAUUUCAGCUGUUCUCUCUAAGUUUCUCUUGGCAUUUCUUCACCUUGGAAGGCAACCAAAGGCUACUUUUUGAGUUAUUGAAUUAGAACUACACCUUGGGAGUUAAGAUAAAUAGUUGGAAGAAAAGAAGUCAUUUCGACGUAAAAACAAGUUGAUAUGUCGAGGUAUGUAAGGCUAUUCGAUCUCUUAUUAUUUGGCAUGGAAUCCAAAGUCUUCAUUGGCACAUAGAGAUCUUUACAAACUUUGACAUAACCACUCCACUCUUUAACAUGUACUUGUGUGUCCAGAUUCGAGCAUUGUCACUGCUGCAUACAUACAUUGGGUACCAUGACAUAUGAGUCUUCUUUUUAGCUAAAUAAAGUUCAUACGUUGUUUAUGUCCUACAUGUUUCACUAAUUGUACAACCCACUCUUUUCAUUAUGACAUGAUGUUACAUGGACACAUACUUGUCAUUUGUCAUGCUUAUAGUCUUAUAGCUCAAAUGUUACGACCACCAAAGAUUCAUCUCAAAAGUAAUAAGAAGAUUUAUGUCUACAGUUGCUUCUGUUGGGUGGUAUCCCAGGGGUGAAAGAAUCACCUAGCAUGGGUCAAUCCCAGUAUUACAGGGGGUAUCCCAGGGGUGAAAGAAAAGCCUAGCAUGGGUCGAUCCUGAUAUAGAAUUACCACUGAUCAGCUGGUCAUUUGUAUUACAUGCUGUGCACAGAUUAUUCAAGUAAUAAGAGUAAAGUAACAUAAUUGUUAUAAGAUACAUGACUCCACAAUAUUCAUAAAGGUGGUCUUUUACCCUACAGCAGUACAUGGUUUCAUUUGAGUUUUUAUCUCAUAUAUAGUACAUGUUGCCUUACAUAUUCAGUACAUUAUUUCGUACUGACGUCCCUCUUGGGGGACCUGCAUUCCAUGCUGCAGGUACAGAAGCUAAUAAACCUCCCUAGUAAGAGUACAGGAUAUUAACUGCAGUCACUGAGGUCCAGGUUGCUUCGGGGCUUUGAGUCUUAUCAUAUCUUUUUUUGCAUUGUAUAGUAUCUUAUCAUGAGGCGGGGCCUGUCCCGACCCUUAUAAGAUAAUGUUUCUUGUCUAGAGGCCUUGUAGACUACGUAAGGUAUAGUAUGGUCAUGUAUCGUACCGUAGACAUUGUGGCUCCAACGGCCUAGUCAUAUAAUAUCUUUUGGCUUGCUAGUCC